UACCCUGGUGGCGAGUGGCGAACGGGUGAGUAAUACAUCGGAACGUGUCCUGUAGUGGGGGAUAGCCCGGCGAGAGCCGGAUUAAUACCGCGUACGCUCUACGGAGGAAAGGGGGGGAUCGCAAGACCUCCCGCUACAGGGGCGGCCGAUGGCAGAUUAGCUAGUUGGUGGGGUAAAGGCCUACCAAGGCGACGACCUGUAGCUGGUCUGAGAGGACGACCAGCCACACUGGGACUGAGACACGGCCCAGACUCCUACGGGAGGCAGCAGUGGGGAAUUUUGGACAAUGGGGGAAACCCUGAUCCAGCAAUGCCGCGUGUGUGAAGAAGGCCUUCGGGUUGUAAAGCACUUUUGUCCGGAAAGAAAACUUCUGCCCUAAUACGGCGGGAGGAUGACGGUACCAGAAGAAUAAGCACCGGCUAACUACGUGCCAGCAGCCGCGGUAAUGCGUAGGGUGCAAGCGUUAAUCGGAAUUACUGGGCGUAAAGCGUGCGCAGGCGGUCCGCUAAGACAGAUGUGAAAUCCCCGGGCUUAACCUGGGAACUGCAUUUGUGACUGGCGGGCUAGAGUAUGGCAGAGGGGGGUAGAAUUCCACGUGUAGCAGUGAAAUGCGUAGAGAUGUGGCGGAAUACCGAUGGCGAAGGCAGCCCCCUGGGCCAAUACUGACGCUCAUGCACGAAAGCGUGGGGAGCAAACAGGAUUAGAUACCCUGGUAGUCCACGCCCUAAACGAUGUCAACUAGUUGUUGGGUCUUCAUUGACUUAGUAACGUAGCUAACGCGUGAAGUUGACCGCCUGGGGAGUACGGUCGCAAGAUUAAAACUCAAAGGAAUUGACGGGGACCCGCACAAGCGGUGGAUGAUGUGGAUUAAUUCGAUGCAACGCGAAAAACCUUACCUACCCUUGACAUGUAUGGAAUCCUGCUGAGAGGUGGGAGUGCCCGAAAGGGAGCCAUAACACAGGUG
rnacentral:rRNA from 1 species